AUUGAACGCUGGCGGCAUGCCUUACACAUGCAAGUCGAACGGCAGCGGGCCCUUCGGGGUGCCGGCGAGUGGCGAACGGGUGAGUAAUGCAUCGGAACGUACCCGGGAGAGGGGGAUAACCGGCCGAAAGGCUGGCUAAUACCGCAUGAACUCGGAAGAGCAAAGCGGGGGACCUUCGGGCCUCGCGCUCUCGGAGCGGCCGAUGUCCGAUUAGGCUAGUUGGUGGGGUAAAGGCCCACCAAGGCGACGAUCGGUAGCGGGUCUGAGAGGACGAUCCGCCACACUGGGACUGAGACACGGCCCAAACUCAUACGGGAGGCAGCAGUGGGGAAUCUUGGACAAUGGGCGCAAGCCUGAUCCAGCAAUGCCGCGUGGGUGAAGAAGGCCUUCGGGUUGUAAAGCCCUUUCGGCGGGGAAGAAAUCGGUCAGGCGAAUAGUCUGGCUGGAUGACGGUACCCGCAGAAGAAGCACCGGCUAACUACGU
rnacentral:rRNA from 1 species